GCUGGGCAUGGUGGCGCAUGCCUGUAAUCCCAGCUACUUGGGAGGCUGAGGCAGGAGAAUUGCCUGCACCCAGGAGACGGAGGUUGCAGUGAGCUGAGAGCGCUCCAUUGCACUCCAGCCUGAGUGACAGAGUGAGACUCCGUCUCAA
rnacentral:sRNA from 1 species